rnacentral:lncRNA from 1 species
AUGGACACCAGUACCACCUGGAGGAGGCUGAGCAAACCCAACCCCUCUAACCUACAUUUGCCACUUGGAGUGGCAUGCAGGACUGAGGGGGAUCUUCCAGUCUUUCUGGCUGGAAGAAGUAAGGAGUUUUCCCAAGAGAAUCCUGCUGUUCCUUAUGGAGCCCUUCCACCACAAGCUGCAGGAGCAGUUCAGAAUAUGCUACAGCACAACUCUGUGUGCCAUGGGGAGCUGCACCAGGCAGCCAAACCUGCUGACUGAGACACCACUGGACACAGAUUUAUUCCUGAAGAAAAGGUUGAACAAGAUAAAAUCCUCAUGGCAGCACAGAGGUAUCCAAGGCUCCAGGGAACACGAACAAGCUGCAGGGUAAAGCCAGUCACCAUCCACAGCUGAGUGGGUAAUUCCCAGCAAACCACAGCUUUGAUUAAGUGCACCCUUUUCCCAGCCACAGAGAAAAUGUUAAAGCUCUUGGAAGCUCCCUGCUUGCUUCUAAUAAUUACAAAUGAAGCCCUUUAUGCAGAAGACCAGUGAAAGAUCUGUGCAUCUGUGAAAUGCCCUGAAGCCCUGGAAACAGAGGAUGUCACAGCAUUCAAGGUGUUUCAGAGACUUUGAGGACCUUGUCAGUGGAUGAUUUCCACCUACAUUUGAAGUCUUGCCUUUUGCAGUCAAGAGAAUAAGGCAGAACUAUCCCUAUCUUCUGUCUCUAAAGGCAGGAGCCUGGUAAAAGGAAAACAUCAUGCAGAGUACGUGAGCAACAAGGCUGGGAAAUACAAAUUGUGUCUUUGUUUUCUUCAUAAAAAUUAAAGGUCAGCUGCAUGCCCAAGCAAAGGAAUUCAUUGUCCCCUCCAUGCAUGGAGCAUGCAGGGACAUGGAGACACCCAAAGUCCACAGCUACUGCAGAGCCAAUGUCCCUGUGUCAUCCACAUUCCCUGAUCACCCAAGCCUUUCCUACAUGUUGGCUUCCAGUCUGGUUGUGCUCCAGAGCCAGCAAACUUCAGGCACUGCAACAACCAGCUCACACAUGGGUAUAGAUUUAGCCUGAGAUAGUCAGGGAGCCCACAUCACCAUAGUAACUGCAUGCUGUUGCAUUAAUUUCAGCAAAUAAAUGAAGCUUUAAAGUCA